rnacentral:tRNA from 1 species
GCGGAUAUAGCUCAGUUGGUAGAGUGCUUGUCUCCCACACAUGGGGCCCUGAGUUCAAUCCCCAGCACCCCA